rnacentral:rRNA from 1 species
AUUGAACGCUGGCGGCAGGUCUAACACAUGCAAGUCGAGCGAGCGGCGGACGGGUGAGUAAUGCCUGGGAAUUGCCCAGUCGAGGGGGAUAACAGUUGGAAACGACUGCUAAUACCGCAUACUACUGGUUUGCCCAGGUGGGAUUGGCUAGUUUGUGAGGUCAUGGUUCACCAAGGCGAAGAUCCCUAGCUGGUCUGAGAGGAUGCUCAGCGAGACAGGAAAUGAGACACGGUCGAGACUCCUAAGAGAUGCAGCAGUAGGGAAUAUUUCGCAAUGGGGGAAACCAUGAUGCGGCCGUGCCGCGUGUGUGAAGAAGGCCUUGGGGUUGUAAAGCACUUUCGGCGAGGAGGCGUUACUCGCAGAAGAAGCACCUGCUGACUCCGUGCCAGCAGCCGCGGUAAUUC